UCUUGCCUUAUCGCUGGUGUUGGUGCGUCUCUGACAACUUCUUUCGCCUCGUUUCUACCUCCUCUCUUGCUCUUUCUUCCGCUUAAUAUUAUUAUUUUUUAUUUUAUAUGAUCAGCUUGUACCUAAUCAUGUUGUUUCAAUUUUUAAUUUGAAGAUACAUUACGGCUGAUAUAAUCCGGGUGGAUUUGAUUUGUGUUUUUUUGUGCUUUUCUCUUUGCAUUAACUUCAAAAAGUCAUACUGGUCUUCUGGUUUCAUGUUGCAAUUAAUUGCCGAUUUGUUGUUGUGGUUGGAUAGAUAAUAGUAGCACAGGUACAUUUAGGUUCUCCUCCGCGGGUUUUUCCAUGUGAACUUAUGCAACUAAAUUUUUGCAUUUCUAGAGAUUUCAAUUUCAAGUUAAAUUAGCAACAUUAUAGAGUUCUAGGGAUUUGGUGGAGAUAUUUGAAUUUACUCGGUAUAUGUUCAAGUUUUAUUAUUAGUAAUUUUUUAACAUCAUAUCCUAACCUGUUCAGCUUAUUUUGUCUGGUUUAUUUAUUUUUCUUUUAGCCUCAUUUUUCCCAAAACUAUUGGAUGGCUAAAUCAUGAAUAGAAUCACUUUUACUAAGUAAAUGCAAUUUCUUCAAAGGUCUGGCAUUGUAUAUUUGUACUGGGCGAUCAGUGAAACAGCUUUCUAAUGUGGCCUUUAUGUUGACAUCCUUGAGAUACUUCAUGCAAUGGCAAGAUUCUGCUUUACCUUGUGUAUUGGAUCUCUCUCCGAGUCUCUGUGUUUGCUG
rnacentral:misc_RNA from 1 species